GACGAACGCUGGCGGCGUGCCUAAUACAUGCAAGUAGAACGCUGAAGGAGGAGCUUGCUCUUCUGGAUGAGUUGCGAACGGGUGAGUAACGCGUAGGUAACCUGCCUGGUAGCGGGGGAUAACUAUUGGAAACGAUAGCUAAUACCGCAUAACAGUAGAUGUUGCAUGACAUUUACUUAAAAGGUGCAAUUGCAUCACUACCAGAUGGACCUGCGUUGUAUUAGCUAGUUGGUGGGGUAACGGCUCACCAAGGCGACGAUACAUAGCCGACCUGAGAGGGUGAUAGGCAACAAUGGGACGGAGAAACGGCCAAGACUCCUAAGGGAGGCAGAAGUAGGGAAUUUUGGGCAAUGGGGGGAAGUCUGAACAAGAAACGCCGGGUGGGGGAAAAAGGUGUUCGGAUGGAAAAGCUCUUUUGAAAGGGAAAAACGGGUGGGGGAGGGGAAAGUUCAAACGGGAGGGGAAUGUUACAAGAAAGGGAGGCCAAACAAGGG
rnacentral:rRNA from 1 species